UGAAGCUGUAAAGUUAGUGGUGUUAAAACUUGAAACCAUAAGAUUCAGUCACACAAAACUGCUUUUAGAACAUGUGAUGGCCAUUAUGAGUUUUUAGUUAUGCCUUUUGGGCUUAUUAAUGCUCCCUCCACAUUUCGAUCAGCAAUGAAUGACUUGCUCAUACCUCACCUGUGUCAGUUUGUGUUGGUUUUUUUUAUGACAUUCUUAUUUACAGUAAAUCUCAUUCAGAACACUUACUUCACUUACGCUUGAUUUUAGAUUUGCUAAAGUCUAAUCAAUUUUAUGCUAAGUUGUCUAAGUGUGUUUUUGCUGUGGAGUCUGUUCGUUAUCUUGGCCAUAUUCUCUCAGCAACAUGUGUUAGUCCAGACCAAGAAAAGAUUAAACAUAUCUUAGAUUGGCCUGAGCCACAAUUUUUACAGGUGGUUUGUUCGCCAAUACGCCUCACUUGCCUCUCCUCUCACCGAUCUUUUGGGUUCCACUAAAUUUACUUGGAGUACAACCACUACAACAACAUUUACAUAACUUAAAAUUAAAAAAUACACAAGCCCCACUGUUGUCUCUGUCAGAUUUUUCCAAGCGUUUCAUCAUAGAGACUGAUGCUUCUACCCUUGCUAUAGGUGCUGUGUUGAUUCAAGAGGGCCAUCCACUUGCUUUUUUCAAUAAAAAGAUGAGUUCCCAAAUGCAAGUUGCAUCUGCCUAUAUCAAGAAACUCUUUGCUGUCACAGAAGUAGUAAAAAAGUGGCGUCAGUAUCUUAUCUGGAAACUACUUUGAUGACUUCAUUUCACCAAAUCUGCUGGUUAUACCCAACCCAGCAAGUUAUGUAUAGAGGGUUGAAGCAACGGUGGACUUCUUGUUGGCGUUUGCAUAAAUCAGAGACCUGAUCUUUUUGGUUGUGCCCUGGCUCAUGUUGGUGUCAUGGACAUGUUACGGUUCCACAAAUUUGCAAUAGAUUAUGGUUGUUCAAACAAGGAGGAAGAAUUUCAUUGGCUGGUCAAGUACUCAGCAUUGCAUAACGUCCAGAGACCUUGGGAACAAUAUCCUAAUCAGUCAAUUCAGUACCCAUCAACAAUGCUGUUGACUGCUGAUCAUGAUGAUCGUGUUGUGCCAUUGCAUUCAUUAGAGCUAUUGGCGGUUAGUCCGAUUCUCUUAACUUUCUAACUUAGAUUUAUUGAAUUAAUUUUGCAAACUACAAACUAAGUUGUUGCAACUCAGAAGCUACUUUAGUUAGCAAAUCAUGAUUUGCAUAAUGAAGAUUUUUGGUUUGGUUUC